UGUGCAGGACUGACCCUUCAGCAGGAAGG
rnacentral:misc_RNA from 1 species